ACGAACGCUGGCGGCACGCUUAACACAUGCAAGUCGAACGAGAGAAGAGAAGCUUGCUUUUCUGAUCUAGUGGCGGACGGGUGAGUAACACGUGAGCAAUCUGCCUUUCAGAGGGGGAUACCGAUUGGAAACGAUCGUUAAUACCGCAUAACAUAAUUGAACCGCAUGAUUUGAUUAUCAAAGAUUUAUCGCUGAAAGAUGAGCUCGCGUCUGAUUAGCUAGUUGGUAAGGUAACGGCUUACCAAGGCGACGAUCAGUAGCCGGACUGAGAGGUUGAUCGGCCACAUUGGGACUGAGACACGGCCCAGACUCCUACGGGAGGCAGCAGUGGGGAAUAUUGCACAAUGGAGGAAACUCUGAUGCAGCGAUGCCGCGUGAGGGAAGAAGGUUUUAGGAUUGUAAACCUCUGUCUUCAGGGACGAAAAAUGACGGUACCUGAGGAGGAAGCUCCGGCUAACUACGUGCCAGCAGCCGCGGUAAUACGUAGGGAGCGAGCGUUGUCCGGAAUUACUGGGUGUAAAGGGAGCGUAGGCGGGAUCGCAAGUCAGAUGUGAAAACUAUGGGCUUAACCCAUAAACUGCAUUUGAAACUGUGGUUCUUGAGUGAAGUAGAGGUAAGCGGAAUUCCUAGUGUAGCGGUGAAAUGCGUAGAUAUUAGGAGGAACAUCAGUGGCGAAGGCGGCUUACUGGGCUUUAACUGACGCUGAGGCUCGAAAGCGUGGGGAGCAAACAGGAUUAGAUACCCUGGUAGUCCACGCCGUAAACGAUGAUUACUAGGUGUGGGGGGACUGACCCCUUCCGUGCCGCAGCAAACGCAAUAAGUAAUCCACCUGGGGAGUACGACCGCAAGGUUGAAACUCAAAGGAAUUGACGGGGGCCCGCACAAGCAGUGGAGUAUGUGGAUUAAUUCGAAGCAACGCGAAGAACCUUACCAGGUCUUGACAUCGUAUGCAUAGCUCAGAGAUGAGUGAAAUCUCUUCGGAGACAUAUAGACAGGUGGUGCAUGGUUGUCGUCAGCUCGUGUCGUGAGAUGUUGGGUUAAGUCCCGCAACGAGCGCAACCCUUACUGUUAGUUGCUACGCAAGAGCACUCUAGCAGGACUGCCGUUGACAAAACGGAGGAAGGUGGGGAUGACGUCAAAUCAUCAUGCCCCUUAUGACCUGGGCCUCACACGUACUACAAUGGCUGUAAACAGAGGGAAGCAAAGCCGCGAGGUGGAGCGAACCCCUAAAAGCAGUCUUAGUUCGGAUUGUAGGCUGCAACCCGCCUACAUGAAGUCGGAAUUGCUAGUAAUCGCAGAUCAGCAUGCUGCGGUGAAUACGUUCCCGGGCCUUGUACACACCGCCCGUCACGCCAUGGGAGUCGGUAACACCCGAAGCCUGUAGUCUAACCGCAAGGAGGACGCAGUCGAAGGUGGGAUUGAUGACUGGGGUG
rnacentral:rRNA from 1 species